GCAUGGCUGUCGUCAGCUCGUGUCGUGAGAUGUUGGGUUAAGUCCCGCAACGAGCGCAACCCUUGUCCUGUGUUGCUAAGCUGAAAGGCUGCACUCUCAGGAGACCGCCAGCGAUAAGCUGGAGGAAGGUGGGGAUGACGUCAAGUCAUCAUGGCCUUUAUGUCCAGGGCUACACACGUGCUACAAUGGACGGUACAAACCGCAGCAAACCCGCGGGGGGGAGCAAAUCGGAAAAAACCGUUCUCAGUUCGGAUUGCAGGCUGCAACUCGCCUGCAUGAAGCUGGAAUCGCUAGUAAUGGCGUAUCAGAACGACGCCGUGAAUACGUUCCUGGGCCUUGUACACACCGCCCGUCACAUCACGAAAGUGGGUUGUACUAGAAGUCUGCGGCCUAACCCGCAAGGGGAGGAGCGGCCCAAGGUAUGACUCAUGAUUGGGGUGAAGUCGUAACAAGGUAACCGUAA
rnacentral:rRNA from 1 species